GAGGUUGAUCAGACUCCGGCGA
rnacentral:siRNA from 1 species